UACGUAGGGUGCAAGCGUUAUCCGGAGUUACUGGGCGUAAAGGGCGUGUAGGCGGUUGGUUAAGUCUGGCGUGAAAGCUCUCGGCUAAACCGGGAGAGGUCGUUGGAUAGCUGGCCGACUAGAGGACGGUAGAGGCGUGUGGAAUUCCGGGUGUAGUGGUGAAAUGCGUAGAGAUCCGGAGGAACACCAGGUGGCGAAGGCGACACGCUGGGCCGUACCUGACGCUAAAGCGCGACAGCAUGGGGAGCAA
rnacentral:rRNA from 1 species